CUUGGUCAUUUAGAGGAAGUAAAAGUCGUAACAAGGUCUCCGUUGGUGAACCAGCGGAGGGAUCAUUACCGAGUUUACAACUCCCAAACCCCUGUGAACAUACCACUUGUUGCCUCGGCGGAUCAGCCCGCUCCCGGUAAAACGGGACGGCCCGCCAGAGGACCCCUAAACUCUGUUUCUAUAUGUAACUUCUGAGUAAAACCAUAAAUAAAUCAAAACUUUCAACAACGGAUCUCUUGGUUCUGGCAUCGAUGAAGAACGCAGCAAAAUGCGAUAAGUAAUGUGAAUUGCAGAAUUCAGUGAAUCAUCGAAUCUUUGAACGCACAUUGCGCCCGCCAGUAUUCUGGCGGGCAUGCCUGUUCGAGCGUCAUUUCAACCCUCAAGCACAGCUUGGUGUUGGGACUCGCGUUAAUUCGCGUUCCUCAGAUUGAUUGGCGGUCACGUCGAGCUUCCAUAGCGUAGUAGUAAAACCCUCGUUACUGGUAAUCGUCGCGGCCACGCCGUUAAACCCCAACUUCUGAAUGUUGACCUCGGAUCAGGUAGGAAUACCCGCUGAACUUAAGCAUAUCAAUAAGCGGAGGA
rnacentral:rRNA from 1 species